rnacentral:rRNA from 1 species
CUUAACUGAACCUUCGGGGAACGUUAAGGGCGGCGAGCGGCGGACGGGUGAGUAAUGCCUGGGAAUAUGCCCUGAUGUGGGGGAUAACUAUUGGAAACGAUAGCUAAUACCGCAUAAUCUCUUCGGAGCAAAGAGGGGGACCUUCGGGCCUCUCGCGUCAGGAUUAGCCCAGGUGGGAUUAGCUUGUUGGUGAGGUAAUGGCUCACCAAGGCAACGAUCCCUAGCUGGUCUGAGAGGAUGAUCAGCCACACUGGAAUUGAGACACGGUCCAGACUCCUACGGGAGGCAGCAGUGGGGAAUAUUGCACAAUGGGGGAAACCCUGAUGCAGCCAUGCCGCGUGUGUGAAGAAGGCCUUCGGGUUGUAAAGCACUUUCAGUAGGGAGGAAGGUAGUGUAGUUAACACCUGCAUUAUUUGACGUUACCUACAGAAGAAGCACCGGCUAACUCCGUGCCAGCAGCCGCGGUAAUACGGAGGGUGCGAGCGUUAAUCGGAAUUACUGGGCGUAAAGCGCAUGCAGGCGGCCUGUUAAAUCAGAUGUGAAAGCCCGGGGCUUAACCUCGGAAUUGCAUUUGAAACUGGCAGGCUAGAGUUUUGUAGAGGGGGGUAGAAUUUCAGGUGUAGCGGUGAAAUGCGUAGAGAUCUGAAGGAAUACCAGUGGCGAAGGCGGCCCCCUGGACAAAGACUGACGCUCAGAUGCGAAAGCGUGGGGAGCAAACAGGAUUA